GCUGAUGAAUCAACGACUUUUAAGAGGAAUAUUUCGGUGGGUGGGGGCGAGUAAAAGAGAUGUUGCUCGUGUGCUUCACGCUGCUGUGGGUACGAAUAGCGACGUGGCAUUCGCUUUAUGUGCACGUUGCACAAAGUUGCAGGCAUAGAUUGGUAAGAGAGAUAGAGAUAGAAAGUGUGUGAGAGCGAGAGGAAAGUGAAGCCAUCCUAUACACUCCACUGGGAGGGAGCUGGGAGAUGUCUUCCUCUGUGCCACAGGAGGCGGUGAAGGUGAAGCAGAUGCAGCACCGGAAGGAGGAGGAUGGGUCGAGCGGCACUGCGUCUCGCCGCCUGCCGAGGAUGGAGCGGGCGAGGAACGAGACGGUGCCGGAGUGGAAGGUGAAGUGCCUCUGCUCCGAGUACGGCGUGCCGGUGAUCAUAAGAGGCAGCUUGCUCAUCGGAGGCUGCUUCUGAUGGUGCCAAACAAAAGGCGUAUGUGUUAAGCGAGCUCGGAGACGGUGCUGUAUGCUCCAGCGUCGUCGUAUGUUAUGCCAUGUAUUCUCAUCUUCUCUUCUAGCGUCGCAUAAGGUGUGUCGUAUGUCAAGUUACGUAGAAAUCCAUGUCGUCGUACGAUGUUGUGCCAUUUUACGAUAUGGUAUACGUAUGUUGUUACGUAUUCACCAAACUCUUGUCCGAAUGUGUCUUCCACACAUUUUAGGAUGUGUUAUUAGUAAGUAAUCAAGAAAUCAUGAAACAAAACACUUUCUUUAAUAACAUGACAAACACAGGGAAAGCUCAUGCAAUCAAUCUUUUGGUCAUGUAUCCGGUAAGAUUGGAAGGUGAUCAUCACACAAACAAGUAAUGCAAUCAUCAACUAUAAAUUUAUUUGAUUUUUAAAUGGUUGCUUAAAUGAUGUAUUUUUCUUUA